rnacentral:tRNA from 2 species
GGCAAGGUGGCAGAGUGGUUAUGCAGCGGCCUGCAAAGCCGUGGACGUCGGUUCGAUUCCGAUCCUUGCCUCCA